rnacentral:rRNA from 1 species
UACUCGAGUGGCGAACGGGUGAGUAACACGUGGGUGAUCUGCCCUGCACUUCGGGAUAAGCUUGGGAAACUUGGUCUAAUACCGGAUAGGACCGCACUUUAGUGUGUGUGGUGGAAAGUUUUUUCGGUGUAGGAUGAGCCCGCGGCCUAUCAGCUUGUUGGUGGGGUAAUGGCCUACCAAGGCGGCGACGGGUAGCCGGCCUGAGAGGGUGUACGGCCACAUUGGGACUGAGAUACGGCCCAG